rnacentral:rRNA from 1 species
AAGUGCCUACGGGGGGCAGCAGUGGGGAAUAUUGCACAAUGGGGGAAACCCUGAUGCAGCAACGCCGCGUGAGUGAAGAAGUAUUUCGGUAUGUAAAGCUCUAUCAGUAGGGAAGAAGAAAGACGGUACCUGACUAAGAAGCCCCGGCUAACUACGUGCCAGCAGCCGCGGUAAUACGUAGGGGGCAAGCGUUAUCCGGAUUUACUGGGUGUAAAGGGAGCGUAGACGGCAGCGCAAGUCUGGAGUGAAAUGCCGGGGCCCAACCCCGGAACUGCUCUGGAAACUGUGAAGCUGGAGUGCAGGAG